rnacentral:rRNA from 1 species
CCUACGGGUGGCAGCAGUGGGGGAUAUUGCACAAUGGGGGAAACCCUGAUGCAGCGACGCCGCGUGUGGGAAGACGGUCCUCUGGAUUGUAAACCACUGUCCCCAGGGACGAAAAUGACGGUACCUGGGCAGGAAGCUCCGGCUAACUACGUGCCAGCAGCCGCGGUAAUACGCAGGGAGCGAGCGUUGACCGGAAUUACUGGGUGUAAAGGGAGCGUAGGCGGGGAUGAAAGUUGGGGGUCAAAACUACCGGCUAAACUGGUAGUCGCACUCAAAACUGCAGCUCUUGAGUGAAGUAGAGGCAGACGGAAUUCCUAGUGUAGCGGUGAAAUGCGUAGAUAUUAGGAGGAACACCAGUGGCGAAGGCGGCCUGCUGGGCUUUUACUGACGCUGAGGCUCGAAAGUGUGGGGAGCAAACAGGAUUAGAUACCCUGGUAGUC